CAGGAACUAAUUAACUAAUGCCUCUGUAAAGCAAACAGUCGAUCUCGGUCAGUGACCAUUCCUAUGCUUGUAUUCUGUGUGGAGUAACUGACACCGGAACUCCAUCAGACUGUUCAGUUGAGAUCAGGGAAGAACCUGUUUGCAUCCAAACCCACCUGAGUAACACAGUAGAAUGUUCGGUGUCUGGAGCGACCCCAGAGCUGAUGGGGAACAUGACUAGGCUACAAUACAACUCCUUCUUGGACAACUGUCAUUACUUCAUGGAGUGAGCUUGUGCGGAUACAGUUGUUCCACUGUGGUGAGAUUCGAAAUCGGAAACUAUCAAGACUACUGACUUACGAAUAAAUGAAAACUCACAUUGUCUCCCAUAUUGUUG
rnacentral:lncRNA from 1 species